UGAGGAAUAUUGGACAAUGGGCGCAAGCCUGAUCCAGCCAUGCCGCGUGCAGGAAGAAGCAUCUAUGGUGUGUAAACUGCUUUUGUACGGGAAGAAACACUCCUACGUGUAGGAGCUUGACGGUACCGUAAGAAUAAGGAUCGGCUAACUCCGUGCCAGCAGCCGCGGUAAUACGGAGGAUCCAAGCGUUGUCCGGAAUCAUUGGGUUUAAAGGGUCCGUAGGCGGUUUAGUAAGUCAGUGGUGAAAGCCCAUCGCUCAACGAUGGAACGGCCAUUGAUACUGCUAGACUUGAAUUACAAGGAAGUAACUAGAAUAUGUAGUGUAGCGGUGAAAUGCUUAGAUAUUACAUGGAAUACCAAUUGCGAAGGCAGGUUACUACUUGUGGAUUGACGCUGAUGGACGAAAGCGUGGGAAGCGAACA
rnacentral:rRNA from 1 species